rfam:Gonapodya prolifera JEL478 unplaced genomic scaffold M427scaffold_1, whole genome shotgun sequence.
CCGGGUUUAGCUCAGUUGGAAGAGCGUAACGCUGUAAGUUGCUUACCGGCAACGUUAAUGUCACCGGUUCGAUCCCGGUAACCCGGA